rnacentral:snRNA from 1 species
AUAGAUACCUGGCAGGGGAGACACCAUGAUCAUGAAGGUGGUUUUCCCAGGGUGAGGCUCAUCCAUUGCACUCUGGAUGCUGACCUCUGCGAUUUCCCCAAAUGUGGGAAGCCUGACUGCAUAAUUUGUGGCAGUGGGGGACUGCAUCCACACUUUCGCCUG